rnacentral:lncRNA from 1 species
GCCAAAAUACGGCAGAGGAACCACGUGCUUCGCCAUCCCGCCAGAGCGACUGGCCGGCAACAAGGAUCUAACGGCGGAGACACGCGACGCUGAAGAAGAAGAAGAUGGAGGGCGUGCCUCUUGAAGUCCUGUGGUGCCAGUGCCGCGGCAACGCGAGUGCCACCCCGCAGUUCGUCCUCGUUCACCAGCAGGUCCAAAGAAUCCACGAAGAAGCUACGACCCUCGGGGUUUGGUACGUGGCGACAACGCUGACCUUAUACGUCCUCGGUGUCCUCUACAUCCUCGCAAGGGCUGGCACUCUUGGCACCGGUGCCUUCACCUCACUGUCAUAUUGCUGCUCCGAGGCUGUCUCCUCCGCCCUUCGACGCUAGGCUGACAGGGCGGGGUGAUGGACUCAUCGAGUACUACUAGGUUGGGUGAAGGAUCUUAGGAGAGGAAUCUCAUCCUAAGUGUGGUGUCGGGAAGACGGUGGGGAUGGAGGACGUAGGGAGAGAAUCCAAAGGAAGGAUCCGAGGAGGGAGAAAGGGUGACGGAGACCAAGAUGAUGAAGGAGUUUUUCUUAGAAAAUAUACACACGGCGGAUUCUCAUUAGCGGAGAGUCACACGCAAAAGAUUGACUCUACAGUGAGAGGCUCCACGCCUUUAAUCCUUUCAAUUUCAACUGCAGAGGAUAUGUUAGGAUAUAUUGAAUGGGUAAUUCAAUAAAACGUAAUAAUUAGAUAUAUGAAUAUGAAUGAAAAAGUAGAUAAAAAAGAAAGGAAAAAAGGGAAAACACAUCAAAAAGGGUGAAAAAAAGAAUCUAUGAUUCUCAUUUUAUUACUAGACCAUUUUUUCAUAGUAAAAUCUUAUAACUGUUACAUUAUGUUAUCCGAGCCACAAAAUAUCAAAGUUGUUCUCUAAGUAUUAAAUCUGUAAUCACAAGAAACAGUUUUGUGAUCUGAUUAAAGUGCAAAUUAUCUUGA